GCCUCCGUGGCGCAAUCGCUUGCGCGUUCAGAUGGAAACUGAAUGGUUGGUGGAUCGAGCCCGCUGUGGGCA